rnacentral:rRNA from 1 species
CAGGCCUGGCCUAACACAUGCAAGUCGAGCGGCAUCGAGUGAGUACAGUUUACUGAGUUAAUGUCGGCGAGCGGCGGACGGGUGAGUAAAGUCUGGGAAUCUGGCCGACGGAGGGGGAUAACUGCUGGAAACGGCAGCUAAUACCGCAUGAAGUCGUGAGACCAAAGUGGGGGACCUUCGGGCCUCACGCCGUCGGAUGAGCCCAGAUGAGAUUAGCUGGUAGGUAGGGUAAAGGCUUACCUAGGCGACGAUCUCUAGCGGGUCUGAGAGGAUAGCCCGCCACACUGGAACUGAGACACGGUCCAGACUCCUACGGGAGGCAGCAGUGGGGAAUAUUGCACAAUGGGCGAAAGCCUGAUGCAGCCAUGCCACGUGUGUGAAGAAGGCCUUCGGGUUGUAAAGCACUUUCAGCGAGGAGGAAGCGAUAAAUGCCAAUACCAUUUAUUUUUGACGUUACUCGCAGAAGAAGCACCGGCUAACUCCGUGCCAGCAGCCGCGGUAAU